CCUACGGGAGGCAGCAGUGAGGAAUAUUGGUCAAUGGGCGCUAGCCUGAACCAGCCAAGUAGCGUGAAGGAUGACUGCCCUAUGGGUUGUAAACUUCUUUUAUAUGGGAAUAAAGUGCAGUAUGUAUACUGCUUUGCAUGUACCUUAUGAAUAAGGAUCGGCUAACUCCGUGCCAGCAGCCGCGGUAAUACGGAGGAUCCGAGCGUUAUCCGGAUUUAUUGGGUUUAAAGGGAGCGUAGGCGGGUUGUUAAGUCAGUUGUGAAAGUUUGCGGCUCAACCGUAAAAUUGCCGUUGAAACUGGAAGACUUGAGUGUGUUUGAGGUAGGCGGAAGGCGUGGUGUAGCGGUGAAAUGCAUAGAUAUCACGCAGAACUCCGAUUGCGAAGGCAGCUUACUAAGCCAUAACUGACACUGAAGCACGAAAGCGUGGGGAUCAAACAGGAUUAGAUACCCCAGUAGUC
rnacentral:rRNA from 1 species